CCUACGGGUGGCAGCAGUGGGGAAUUUUGGACAAUGGGCGCAAGCCUGAUCCAGCCAUGCCGCGUGUCUGAAGAAGGCCUUCGGGUUGUAAAGGACUUUUGUCAGGGAAGAAAAGGGCGGGGUUAAUACCCCUGUCUGAUGACGGUACCUGAAGAAUAAGCACCGGCUAACUACGUGCCAGCAGCCGCGGUAAUACGUAGGGUGCGAGCGUUAAUCGGAAUUACUGGGCGUAAAGCGGGCGCAGACGGUUACUUAAGCAGGAUGUGAAAUCCCCGGGCUCAACCUGGGAACUGCGUUCUGAACUGGGUGACUAGAGUGUGUCAGAGGGAGGUAGAAUUCCACGUGUAGCAGUGAAAUGCGUAGAGAUGUGGAGGAAUACCGAUGGCGAAGGCAGCCUCCUGGGAUAACACUGACGGUCAUGCCCGAAAGCGUGGGUAGCAAACAGGAUUAGAUACCCUUGGUAGUC
rnacentral:rRNA from 1 species